GACACUCCACAUCCCCUUCCUGGACGAAAACGUUUUCUGUUACAAUAAACUGUACCAGGAUAUGAGGGGGCCUUAACAAGGGAGGGGCUAAGCUGCGAGACCAGAUUUAUUCCGGCAGCGCUAGAGUUUGGGCGCACAACAGCGUCUGACGACGUCCAGUGUGUGUUCUAACCAGAUUUUGUGUCUGAUGAAGCGACAGAGAUAGUGACGGAAACAGAGGAGCGAGUGAUGACAUCUUCACAGAUAGAAAUUUAAGUUACCUGCGGAAAUCAUGUCGCAGCUGGACCAAUGAGCACUCACACACACAACAGUCGAGCCUUGAUGAUGCUGAGGACCCACAGUGGGCUACAUCCGGUACAGACCGGAAGUGAAGGACACAACGCCCCCUCCCCCAACAUACGGUUCAGAGAACACGAGGAAUGUGUAUAAAAACGUUUCCAAACAUGGUACGAAGGUGAAAUCAGCAGAUUCAAUAUAAGAAAGGCGUACUGCUGUACCUUUUGCACUUCAGUGGCAGUUUUAUAGACAACUCAUUAUUAUUCACUGAUAAGCAGAAUAUUCUAAUUAGCCAUUUCUGGAGGUACUAAAGUCAUAACGUCCUUUAUAUAAAAAAAACAUGUAUUUUAAGCUUAUAACUCAAAGAGCCGAUAUUCACUAUUUUUAUUUACUUUCACAAUACGGGCUGCUAACUAGAGGAAGGACAACGGAUUAAAAUAUUCGUCUAAAUCACUAACACUGAGCCUGUGUUUUGCCUUUCGGGCACCUUUCUUCCGCUAUACCCUACAGUCGAAAUGGAGAAAUUGUUACGUACGAUGGUUUGAAAAGAAGUGGUCGUGACCUCUUUUGAGGAAAUAUCCCACAAUUAGCACCAAAGAAUGGAAGAAAUCAACAACAAAAAAUCAGUCACGAUAGUCGGAAAAUAUGCUGAAAAAGAGACAUCUUGGCCUGCGCAUCUGAAGCCCAGAAGACCCCAUCACUGCGCAUGGUGACUCGCUUCCAUCACUACAGCUGCGACAUGGUCACGGUGACCGGUCUACUUAAUUGCACACCGCACGCAGAAAGUGGAAGAGCCCCGAGACGACUUGGUCUGCUGAUCCCCAAGCCUGGAAAUCGAAGGUCCUGCCUACAGAUUCAACCAGAUUAGUUAAGGGGAAGACCAUGUCACUUUGCUCACCAUUCGUUACUUUUGAUAUCCUUAUGGGCAAGGAUGGAAUGGAAGUUUUAAUAUCUAAAAAUUCAAACUCUUAACUAAAAACUAUAAGACCCAAAUCGAAAGAGUCAAGUACCCGUCUGGAUUAGUGGGAAGUGCGCAUAUCAGCCAUAUUUAAACAUAUCGACAUAAGUAUUUAGGUUUCCUGAAAUAUCCGUAUAAGUAUGGGUUUGUUCUAUAUCUAUUCUUUUCAGUUUUCUUCACGUUGGAAUCUGUAGAAGUAAAAAUAUUCUGGAUACGAAUUAUGAUCCUUCGACAAACUUUCCCCUUCUCAUCUCUUCUAGAGGCUGUCCCACGCACAACUACCGUGUUCUGUAUACUUGUACUGUUUAUUAAAUAUCUAUUUUAGCGAGAAAUCCAAAUAACUCAAAUCGAAUAGUUUCCAUAUAAAACAAAGGGAACGACAUAAAGACAUUAUGAUUCAGCUGAAGUACUGAAAAUAUGAAUAGCGACGUGUUCGUGCUUGAUGAGGUAAGAAACAUAUCAGAAAUCAGCUACAGCCGUGGGCUAACUCAUUGCACCUUCUAUCAAGCAAUGGCGGUGGUCAG